AGAGUUGAUCAUGGCUCAGGAUGAACGCUAGCGGCAGGCUUAACACAUGCAAGUCGAGGGGCGAGCGGGAUGUAGCAAUACAUUGCCGGCGACCGGCGGAUGGGUGCGUAACGCGUAUGCAACCUACCUUAUACAGGGGAAUAACCUUUCAAAGGGAGACUAACACCCCAUAGUAUUGAUUUAAGGCAUCUUAGAUUAAUUAAAUAUUUAUAGGUAUAAGAUGGGCAUGCGUAUGAUUAGCUAGUUGGUAAGGUAACGGCUUACCAAGGCGACGAUCAUUAGGGGUUCUGAGAGGAAGGUCCCCCACACUGGUACUGAGACACGGACCAGACUCCUACGGGAGGCAGCAGUGAGGAAUAUUGGUCAAUGGGCGCAAGCCUGAACCAGCCAUGCCGCGUGCAAGGAAGACGGCCUUAUGGGCUGUAAACUGCUUUUACAUAAGACUAACCGUAUAUUUGCGAAUAUACCUGAAUGUGUUAUGAGAAUAGGGAUCGGCUAACUCCGUGCCAGCCGCUGC
rnacentral:rRNA from 1 species